rnacentral:rRNA from 1 species
UACGUAGGGGGCGAGCGUUGUCCGGAAUUAUUGGGCGUAAAGAGCGUGUAGGCGGUUCGAUUAGUUUGCUGUAAAAGUCGGGGGCUCAACCCCCGAAAGCCGGUGAAUACUGUCGGGCUAGAGUACGGAAGAGGCGAGUGGAAUUCCUGGUGUAGCGGUGAAAUGCGCAGAUAUCAGGAGGAACACCAAUUGCGAAGGCAGCUCGCUGGGACGUUACUGACGCUGAGACGCGAAAGCGUGGGGAGCGAACAGGAUUAGAAACC